CUCUAUUUCUGACAAAAGAUUUUAGGGCAAAGGAG
rnacentral:ncRNA from 1 species